rnacentral:lncRNA from 1 species
UAAAAGUCUUUACUUUCACUUUGGAUCAAUUUAACGCAUCCUUGCUGAAUAAAAGUAGCAUAUCAAUUUCUUAAAAAAAAAUUCUGACCCCUAGCCUAUAUGUUGUUUACACUUUGUAUAUAAACAUCAGACUACUAAAACGCUCUCAUCAGUAACAUAAGAACAUUGUGAUCUCAGAUGAGUCAUGUGAUUGUUAAUGUAGUUUCUUCCUGUGUACAGUUUGAACCGUCACGUCUGCUGCUCAGCACGGGCUGCGCGUGUUAGACGUGCUUUCCCAACACUGUCUGUGCAUCUAGGGAAGAAAGCAUGGCACAUAUCACAGCGAAACGGGUCAAAAGUAUCUGAUGCAGCCGUGUCCUCGGAGUCACAACCACUACAGCAUGCAUAGAGUGAGUCCUGUUACCCAGCAUGCCCUGUCACCUCAUACGCAAGCAGCCUCCCCAGAGGCACAGCAUUGAUGAUUUUUACUCCGUUUUAAGGAGGUGCUGGAGUUGGGAUGUUACUGAAAGUGAAAGGUUUCCUCACUGUCUUUGUGAAAUUUGGCAGCAAGCUUCCCUCGUUUCUCCAGCAGCCCAUGCAGUCAUUCACCACUCACAUGAAGCAACUUGGACAAAAGUUGCAUCUCCUCUCCAGCCUCAUGAAUAUUCAGGUGAAGUGGGCGUCGACAGGCGACCGCUGGCCUUAAAUAGACAGAGCAUCUGUACCUCCAGCACCCACCAAAAGAAACUCUGAGGAUAAACCUUAACAAGGACUUAUCAUCUGAGCGGGUUCUGCAACAAUUACAAGUGAGUAGAUGUUUUGCUUAUUAAUGUUUUUUUUUUUUUUGCUUAGAUGCUGUAAAAUUUAACGUACACUUUAAAAAUUAUUCAAAUUUAAACUUUAAGAGACUAUUAACCAGUUAUUUAUUUAUUUAUUUAUUUAUUUAUUUAACAAUAAUUUCCUUUAUUCUAUAUGGUGAAAAACUGUGAAAGACUGAAUGGACUUUUUAUGCAAUAUUACAGUAAAAAUCCUGAUAAAUGUAUUUGACACUUUUUGAAGUGAAAAAGAAAAAGUCACAGCUCACAUUUAAUAGUUUUCAUUGAUAUAAUCAUGUAAGACACAUGCUGUUAAAUUAAUAACUAAGGUUGAACCUUCUAUAUAUUAAUAUUUACCAGUGUUAUUUUAGUAUAAUUGAGAUACUAGUUUUUUUGUAAUAUUUUAAAUCAGUUUUUAUAUUGUCUGUUGUCAUUUUGUUUUUAAAAUAUCCUAGAUAUAAUUUUAGAUUAUAUCUAAUAUGUAUUAUUUAAAUAUUAUUCUAGAUUUAUAUUAUAUAUUUUAUGUAAAUCGUUUUUAUUCAUUUUUAUUUGGGGUUUAGUUUGAAUCAUUUUACUAAAUCAAGUUCAACUACAUUAAACUAAGAAAUGUUGUUUUGGAAAGGUUAUUUAUUUUACCUUAUUUCA